rnacentral:lncRNA from 1 species
CUAUUUCUGAAAUUUUCAGAGAUGAGAAGGACUUAUUAUUGUCCUUGGGAAAUGGAAACACCUAAAACAAAUAUUUCUUGCUAUUGUUGUGUGUCGUUGUCACCGUUCUACGUUAUUCCUCUCCUUUUCCUUUUUGCAGGAGAUAGGAAGAUUGAGAGAGCUGACGGAAGCGGGGAAGAGGGUGUCUUUCGCCACCUAGUGAUCAUUUUGAGGAGAAGAGGCUGGAUCAUCGGACUGCGUCAUGCAAACCCAUUCUACAAAUAGCAGACAGAAAGACCUCACACAGACAGUGGAACCCUGGGAUUCAGACUCUGACAGCUUUGAUGAUGUGAUGAUCCAUGCAGGAGACUGAGCUUACUCAUAUGCAGAUAAAAGCCUAUUUUCUCUACUCUUUCCCUGUCACUACUGUGAUGAUCAGCCUUUUCAGUGAUGCAUGAUAUUCUUCACCUUGAGCUCAGAGAGAAAUAGAAAUUAGUUGUUCAACAAUCACGAAUGCUAAUGUAAAAUUCGUAAAAUUCCAUCAAGGCUCACUUUACUUAGUGUUUUAUUCUGAUGAACAAACCAAUUGUCAGGGCUUUUAUAAUACUCCCUUCCCUCCCUCAAUUUCCCCCCAAAGCUUAUAAAUUCCUCCAACACAAAUUCCCCUACAAUGAGGGUUUAAGUAACUCAACUCUAGGACCUAAGGAGGGGGCUAUUCAGUUUGAUAAAUUUUUGAUCCUAUAAUUUAUUUUAACUCUGUUUAAGCUUAACUUGCUGUCUCAACAGAAAGGAUACAAAUCCCCUUGUUAAUUCAUUUGGUAUAAGUUCAUUUGUUUUGCAGCAAUUGUAUAAGGUACUGAAGGGCAUGGUGUGUCCUGGAAGACAGUACAUUUAUAGUGGAUUCCUGGAUUUACUUUGGUACCUAAUCAAGGAAGAGAAGCUGCUAGAGUUCAUUGCCAUCCAUCCUCUCUGUUCUCAUAUCUGGUCUUCCAAGUGAUUUAAAUGGUUGAAUAUCCUCUUCCCUAAAGGUGGUAGAAAUCCAGUAAGUUUUCCCCUAGCCUGGAAAACCUGUAAGAUAGAUCCCCUAUAUCUGAGUUUGCAGUGAUCAGAGAAAGGGGACAAGAAUACAAAAGUUAAAAGUCUUGGCUUGUGUAGUUACAGUUGGGAUGGCAGACAUUCUUCAACGUGUUCCAAGGAGGCAGAUGAGUGUUGAAAACCCAUUACUGGGUGAUAGGGAUCUAGGGACUCACCAUAGUGCUAGGGGAGCUUACACUCUUCUCUAAGUCACAGUGGUUUUCAACACUGGCUGCCCAUCCAAAUCGUUAUGGGGAACUUCAAAAGCAGAUUUCUGGGAUCUGUCCCUAGACGUGCUAAAUCGGGGAUUAGGCCAGCAGCUGUUGAUUUUGAAAGCUACUCAAGCCAUUUUUUAAUAGAGUCAUGGUUGAAAACCACUGCUGUUGAAAACUAUAGUUAUGAUAGAAAAUAAGAGACAAAUGAUAGUGAGCCCAGGGGGUAGGAAACCUCCAUUCUAAGUUUCUGCUCUGCUACGGGCUCAAUGGAUGCUCUUAUUCAAAUCAUCCUACUCUUUCCUUAUCUGUCCAAGGAGAGAAUAGGAACACUUGGUCUCUGAUGUCCUUCUAUCUCUGACAUUGUUACCUUGAGAGAAAGGUGCAUCAGCCUGAUUGGUUGAUUUGGGGACUACCUAAGCCCUUUCCUAGAGACCAAGGUGAGUAGCAAUACUGCUGUCUUGUACUCUUGUUAUUUUAAAAAUGGUUCUUGUGGCUCAGGCUGUCUUCUGUUUUACUCCCUCUCAGAAAAGAGUUAGUCACAGAUGCCACAGAAGAAAGGGAAACCAAUGUAACAUCAACUCUGAGUUAUAGGGUUUGCAUUAUAUAUAUAUAAUGCAUAGACAUUGUCAAUAAAACUAGAUAUUUUGUUUCA